AGCGGCGCGUGUCCGAUUAGUUUGACGUCGGAGUAACAGCCCACCGCGGCGUCAAUCGGUAGCUGGUGUGAGAGGAUGAUCAGCCGCUUCGGGUCUGAGACACGUCCCUGACUCCUUCGGGAGACAGCAGUGGGGUAUAUUGGACAGUGGGGGCAUUCCUGAUCCAGCGAUGUCGCGUGUGUGAAGAAGUCCUUCGGGUUGUAUAGCACUUUCGCGGGGGAAGUAACUUCGCGCUCUAACAUAGCGCGGCACGGACGGUUCUCCGAGAAGAAGCGCCGGCUAACUCUGUGCCAGCAGCCGCGGUAAUUCGGAGGGCGCAAGCGUUAAUCGGAAGGCCUGGGCGUAGAGCGUGGGCAGGCGGCCGCGGAAGUGGUAUGUGAAAGCCCCGGGCUCAUCCCGGGAGCUGCGUUGGUAUCUCCGCGGCUCUAGUCCGGCAGAGGAAGGUGGAAUUCCGCGUUUAGCGGUGAAAUUCGUAGAUAUGCGGAAGAUCUCUAAGGGGGAAGGCAUCCUUUUGGGCCGGCUCUGCCGCUGAGGCUCGAAAGCGUGGGUAGCAUACAGUAUUAGAUAGCCUGGUAC
rnacentral:rRNA from 1 species